GGGUUGUGAGGUUAAGCGACUAAGCGUACACGGUGGAUGCCCUGGCAGUCAGAGGCGAUGAAGGACGUGCUAAUCUGCGAAAAGCGUCGGUAAGGUGAUAUGAACCGUUAUAGCCGGCGAUGUCCGAAUGGGGAAACCCAGUGCAAUUCGUUGCACUAUCGUUAACUGAAUACAUAGGUUAACGAGGCGAACCGGGGGAACUGAAACAUCUAAGUACCCCGAGGAAAAGAAAUCAACCGAGAUUCCCCCAGUAGCGGCGAGCGAACGGGGAGCAGCCCAGAGUCUGAAUCAGCUUGUGUGUUAGUGGAACGGUCUGGAAAGUCCGACGGUACAGGGUGAUAGUCCCGUACACCAAAAUGCACAGGCUGUGAACUCGAAGAGUAGGGCGGGACACGUGGUAUCCUGUCUGAAUAUGGGGGGACCAUCCUCCAAGGCUAAAUACUCCUGACUGACCGAUAGUGAACCAGUACCGUGAGGGAAAGGCGAAAA
rnacentral:rRNA from 1 species